CUGGUAGUGGGGGACAACAGUUGGAAACGACUGCUAAUACCGCAUACGCCCUACAGGGGAAAGCGGGGGAUCUUCGGACCUCGUGCUAUCAGAUGAGCCCGCGUCAGAUUAGCUAGUUGGUGGGGUAAAGGCCUACCAAGGCAACGAUCUGUAGCUGGUCUGAGAGGAUGAUCAGCCACACUGGGACUGAGACACGGCCCAGACUCCUACGGGAGGCAGCAGUGGGGAAUAUUGGACAAUGGGGGCAACCCUGAUCCAGCCAUGCCGCGUGUGUGAAGAAGGCUCUAGGGUUGUAAAGCACUUUCAGUAGGGAGGAAAGGGAGCUGUUUAAUACGCAGUUUCUGUGACGUUACCUACAGAAGAAGCACCGGCUAACUUCGUGCCAGCAGCCGCGGUAAUACGAGGGGUGCAAGCGUUAAUCGGAAUUACUGGGCGUAAAGCGCGCGUAGGGGUUAUCUAAGCGAGAUGUGAAAGCCCUGGGCUUAACCUGGGAACUGCAUUUCGAACUGGGUGACUAGAGUACAGCAGAGGAUAGUGGAAUUUCAGGUGUAGCGGUGAAAUGCGUAGAGAUCUGAAGGAACAUCAGUGGCGAAGGGACUGUCUGGGCUGAUACUGACGCUGAGGUGCGAAAGGUGGGGAGCAAACAGGAUUAGAUACCCUGGUAGUCCACGCCGUAAACGAUGUCUACUAGCCGUUGGGGUCCUUGAGACUUUAGUGGCGCAGUAACGCACUAAGUAGACCGCCUGGGGAGUACGGUCGCAAGAUUAAAACUCAAAUGAAUUGACGGGGGCCCG
rnacentral:rRNA from 1 species